rnacentral:rRNA from 1 species
UACGUAGGGGGCAAGCGUUGUCCGGAUUUAUUGGGCGUAAAGAGCGUGUAGGCGGCUAGAUAGGUCCGUUGUGAAAACUCGAGGCUCAACCUCGAGACGCCGGUGGAAACCAUCUAGCUAGAGUCCGGAAGAGGAGAGUGGAAUUCCUGGAUGUAGCGGUGAAAUGACGCAGAUAUCAGGAAGAACACCCGUGGCGAAGGCGGCUCUCUGGUACGUGACUGACGCUGAGGAGCGAAAGCGUGGGGAGCGAACAGG